UACGUAGGUGGCAAGCGUUGUCCGGAUUUACUGGGCGUAAAGAGCGCGCAGGCGGUCGUCCAAGUCGCGUGUGAAAGCCCCCGGCUCAACUGGGGAGGGUCACGCGAUACUGGUCGACUCGAAGGCAGGAGAGGGUAGUGGAAUUCCCGGUGUAGUGGUGAAAUGCGUAGAGAUCGGCAGGAACACCAGUGGCGAAGGCGGCCACCUAGCCCGCACCUGACGCUGAGGCGCGACAGCGUGGGGAGCGAACUGG
rnacentral:rRNA from 1 species